CAUCGUGAAAUACAUUGUUCUUCCUCCCAAGUACGGAACGAAUCAUCCGAAUUACGGCUCGCAAUUUGACAGUUUUCCUUUUCGCUUGUUUCUUCCGUUUGAAAACGCAUGGGAAAUAAAAGAUAUUAGCCAACUGGUUUCGUUCAAAUUUCCAUAAGAAUUAGAGAGGCAUCGAUUUAGUCGUAAUUCGCAUGGCGAUUAAGAACGAAUUUCCCGCUUUUGCUGUAAUUCGCUCACUAAAAUUUGUAUGUCGAAUUAUAUAAUAGGACAUGCAUUUGGCGAAUAACAAAUAAGAGAGCGAAACAUUUAAGUUUUCCUAGCUCGUGGCUCGUCGCCGGUAGCGGCUAUUCUGUUUGUGCUCGGGCUGCACUCAAUUUCACUUGCUUAAUUUUUUUUAUAUCGAUAAUGUUAAUGAAUAUCUUUAGUAUGUAAUCAUAACUGCAAUUUUGCGUUAUGGGUUGUGGAUUUAUUUUUAGUUUGUUUUUUUUUUUUAGUUUGCUUUUCAUUCGAUUUUACCGAUGAAAAUUAUCUGUACAGCAAAGAAAGUCUACAGUCAUAUAAAAUAAAAUAUUAGCAACCGUUAAUGAGUUUUUCUCAAAUGCUGUGUUAUAUAUACAUAUAUGGUGCUUCAAAUUUUAUGUGGGUUUGAAUUAAAUAAAGCGGUCGCUAUAGCAGUGAUUUCGUAUCGGAUUUUGUUAUCAUAAGAAAAGUUUUUUUAAAGUGUGAUUCAUUUUAAAAAAAGUAAGCCAGUUUGUGACAUCGUAUGUGAAGGCAGAAGUGACACUUAAAUAACACGAUAGUCAGAAAAUUAAAACAAAUAUGAUAUAUAAAAGAAAGUUGUAUAAAAACUAUAACGCGUACAACUUCUGAAGAAAAAACUGAGAAUCGAAGCUUAUAUUAAAUAAAAGUUUUGUGCUCGAUAAACAACAUGACACAUUUACCAAGCUCAUUAAAUGGUUUCGCAGUUUGUCUCUUCGUAUUCUGGUGUGGAACUUGGUGUGUUCAUCUUUUGGCCAUAUGUUACGG